CUUGUUUCAAGAAUUAUUGCCCCUUUUGGACUAAGAAAAUCAGAUUUCUUGGUUAAGCUUUCUGUUUAGGUCAGCUUUUCUCCUAAACUAUUCAAGCUAUUGCUUUGAAACUUGCAACAGUUGUUCACCAUCAUAAGCUGACUCUGUACAUCAAGAGACAUAACUCCAUCCCGCUUUUUGCAACAACUAUGACCCUUUUUGGACUAAGAAAAUCAUUGAUAGGACAAUUUUUCUAUUAUACAAAAAAAUCAGAUGAGCGUCAGCACCCACAAGGCAGUGCUCUUGUUUAGCUCACCUGUCACAUAAUGACAGGGUGAGCUUUUGUGAUCACCCUUCAUCCGUUCACAACUUCCUUGUGAACACGAUAGAGACCACAUUUUGUAUUUGAUUUUAAUCAAAAUUGCACACAAUUUGUAUUAGCAUAAUAUCUCAGUUCCUUUCAAAAACUGGCCAGGUCCCAUCAUUGGUUCCAGAGUUAUGGAACCGUAAAUGGCCAAAAUUUGUCAUUUUUGGCUUCUGAACACGAUAGAGACCACAAUUUUUAAUAAACUUUAAUCAAGCUUGCACACAACUUAUAUUGGCGUAAUAUCUCGGUUCCUUUUGAAAACUGGCUAGAUCCCUAAUGGGUUCUCGAGUUACGGCCCCUGAAAGGGCCAAAGAUUUGCUAUUUUUGGCUUAUAAACACGAUAGAGACAACAUUUUGCAAUCAACUUAAAUCAAACUUGUACACAACUUGUAUUAGCAUAAUAUUUUGGUUCACUUUGAAAACUUGCCAGAUCCCAUCAUGGGUUCCAGAGUUAUGGCCCCUUAAAGGGCCAACAUUUGCAAUUUUGGCUUCUGCAGCCAUAUAGAGACUUCAUGUAUGGUUUGAUUUGAUACAAACUUGCAAAAUAUCUUCAACAACAAUAAAUCUUGGAUUCCGUGAUGGAACUGUCAGAUCCAAUUAUAGAUUCUGGAGUUACGGCCCCUGAUUGACCCCUAAAAGAGCCAAAACUUGGUAAUUUUUACCUUGUGAACAUGAUAGAAGUGACAUUUUGUAUUUGAUUUUAACCACACUUUUACACAACUUAAGUCACAAUAAGAUCUUGGUUCCUUUCAAAAACCAGCUAAAUUCUAUCAUGGGUUCUAGAUUUACUGUCCCUGAAAGGGACAAAAUAUUCUAUUUUGGCCAUCUCAGACAUAUUGAGGUUUCAUUUAUGCUCUGAUUUGAUACAAACUUGCACAGAAUGAUUACCUUGAUGAUCUCUAGGCCUGGAUUGAAACUGGGUCAUGUCAAGUCAAAAACUAGGUCAUUAGGUUAGAUCCAAGAAAGUUUGUUAACAACCUAGAGGCCACAUUUAUGACCCUAUCUUCAUGAAACUUGGUCAAAAUGUUUAUCUUGAUGAUUCCUAGGCCAAGUUUGAAACUGGGUCAUAUGGUGUCAAAAACUAGGUUACCCAGUAAAAUCAAAGGAAACACUUGCUAACACUCUUGUUCAGUUGAUGUGCAAGAAACUUGGUCAGAAUGUCUGUCUGCAUGAAAUAUGUAUGAAUUUUUAUCUGGGUCAUGUGGGGUCAAAAACUAGGUCAUCAGGUCAAAUCAAAGAAUAAGCUUGUUUACAACCUAGGGGCACAUUUUUGCUUCUGUCUUCAUAAAUUUUGGCCAGAAUGUUUGUUAUCAUGAAGUCUUGGACAAUUUUAAAUCUGGGUCAUGUGGGGUCAAAAACUAGGGUCAGAUCAUAGGAAAAGCUCGUAUAGGCUCUAGAGGCCACUUUUUUUGCUCAAAUCUUCCUGAAACUUUGUCAGAAUGUUUGUUUCAUGAAAUUUUGGACAAGUUCAAAUAUGGGUCAUGUUGGGUAAAGGUCACUAAGGUAUGUGUUUUGGUCCAAUCUUAAUGAAAAAUGGUCAGAAUAUUUGUCUUCAUGAAAUCACUGGGUAAAACAUGUUUACACUGUUAUGUAGUGUUACACAGUUGAGCGACCCAGGGCCAUCUUGGCCCUCUUGUUUACCUUAUAUCAGUCAUUUUGUUUUACUGCACAUAUGGAACAAUAUGGGUGUCUUUAAAUCAACACAACUUUUUUAUUGCCUCUCUUUUCAGGAACUUAAGAUAUUUAAUUUAAUUUUUACAGAAUAGGGGUGUAUCUGUAUUUAAUUUUAAAGUAUCGUGUUUCUGUUACUGUUGUGUGGAAUGUGUUUUUAACAUGUUUUGUAUGAAUAAAUACUCAUCAUUUUACUUGUUGAUUUUAUCAUAUGUAAUGAUUUGUUAUAGACUUAUUAUGAUUUGUGGCAUACUGGAAUAUUUUGUUUAAGGAUGUUAUAAAAAGUCCAAAAUACAGAGCUAGAAAAAGAA